rnacentral:antisense_RNA from 1 species
AUUGCCCUGGUGUUUCCGCCUGGUGGGUUAAAUCCCAAAUUACGCCCGCUCUCGAUCCUUAAUAAUGGGAAGGGGCUUCCACUUGUCGCCCUCUGCCUCCUGCACCUCAGUGACUUCCCUGACCAAGGAGGAAGAAUCGGCGUGCAGCCUUUGCUUCCCUCAAUGGCCACGAUUCCGCUGGCACAAUGUAGUGCCCUGCCCCGGGCCUCAGUUUCCCCAUCUGUGGAACUGAGUGUGGCCUCGACGUCAAAAAUGUGGACUCUGGUCCGGUCGCGGUGGCUCACGCCUGGAUUGUGAGAAAGCAAGUGAAAUUACUCGUGGAAGUGAAUGGACUGCUUUGAGUCUUCAAGGCAUUAAUUUUCCAAACGUUUGAAUUCCAUCCCUAGUGUGAGAGCUAGGGAUGCAGCCUAGCAAGGGAAACAGGUAACUAAUAUAGAACAGCAGUACCUGCACAUAUCUGUCUCUGUGAGGAUAGCUCAAAUCCAGGCUUGGUCACUCACCACCCCUGUGAUCCUGGACAACCUCUUAACCUCUCUGGGCUUCAGUUUCAUCUGCUAAGUGGGAAAGCAGUGGUGUGUGGUGAUUAAAAGCUUCAGCUUUGGAGCUGGAUGGUCAACAUGGAAUCCUGGGCCUUAAACUCAGUGUCUCUGAGACAUAGGACAAAGUACAGUCAGCCGUCCACGUUUACAGGUUCCCCAUCUAUGGACUGAAGCAACUGUGGGUGGAUAAUAUUUGUGGGGAAAAACAGUAAAAAAUAACAAUACAACAAUAAAAAUAAUACAAAUUCUGAAAGCAAUACAGCAUAGCAAUUACUUACAUAGCAUUUACAUUGUAUUAAGUAUUAUAAGUAAUUUAAAGAUGAUUUUCAAUAUACUGGAGGAUUUGUGUAGGUUAAAUGCAAGUAUUCUGGCAUUUUAUAAGCGCCCAAUGGUUCUCCUUGCCUGCUUCCUAGACAGAACCAAUUUAUUAAGACAGGGGAAUUGCAAUAGAGAAAGUUUAAUUCACACAGAGCUGGCUAACAGGAGACCACAGUUUUAUUAUUACUCAAAUCAGUCUCCCCGGAAAUUCAGGGUUUUCGAGGAUAAUUUGGUGGGUAGGAGGCUGGGGAUUAGAGAGUGUUGAUUGGUUGGAUCAGAGAGGAAAGGAGUCAAAGCUGUCCUCUUGCACUGAGUCAGAUUCUGGGUUAGGGCCAUAGGACCAGAUUAGCCAGAUUACAGGGCUGAGUGGUGUCAGCUGGUGCAUUAGAACACGGGUUCUGCAAAAUAUCUCAAGCACUGAUUUUAGGUUUUAGAACAGUGAUGUUACUCCCGGAAGCAAUCUGGGGAGGGUCAGAAUCUUGUAGCCUCCAGCUUGCGUGACCUCCUAAACCAUAAUUUCUAAUCUUUUAGCUAAUUUGUUAGUCUACAAAGGCAGACCCGUUCCUCGGCAAGGAGGGGAUUUGUUUUGGGAAAGGGCUAUUAUUGCCUUUGUUUCAAAGUUAAACUAUAAACUGAGUUCUUUCCAACAUUAAUUCUACCUAUGCCCAGGAAUGAUCAAGGACAGCUUGGAAGUUAGAAGCAAGAUGGAGUCAGUUAGGCCAGAUCUCUUUCACUAUCAUAAUUUUCUCAGUUAUGCUUUUUACAAAGGUGGUUUUGAUUUUACAUAAGGGACUUGAGCAUCGAGAAUUUUGGUAUCCGUGGAGACUGAGGUACCAAUCCCUCACAGCUACUAAGGGAUGACUGAGCUCAAGUUUUCAGCCUCAGUUUGCUCAUCUAUAAAGCAGGUUUAAUAAUAACACUUUGUUGAUAGUGUUAUUCUGAAGAUUAAAGGAAGAGUAAACAUAAACUACUUAGAAGAGUGUCUGUGGCACAUUGUAAGCCCUCAAUAAGUGUGAACUAACACCACUAAUAAGUUCUUUAUAAACUGCCUAAUAAGUAGUCAAAUAAGGGGGGAAAUAAAGCCCUAAGGAGUAAUAUUUGUGUUUUGUUUGCCCUACACGGUUUUGUGAAAUUUUCUAUUCAUUAUCAAUACUUAAAGUUGGGGUUUUCAAUCUUUGACUGGGCACGGUGGCUCAUUCCUGUAAUUCCAACACUUUGGGAGGCCAAGCUGGGAGGAUGGCUUGAGCUCAGAAGUUUGAGAUCAGCCGUGGCCAACAUGGUGAGGCCCCCAUCUCUACAAAAAAAAAAAAAAAAAAAAUACAUAUGUAUACACACACACGCAAAAAUUAGCCAGGCAUGGUGGUGAACACCUGUGGUCCCAGCUACUCAGGAGGCUGAGGUGGGAGGACAGCUUGAGCCAAGAAGGAAGAGGUUGCAGUGAGCUGAGAUUGCAUCACUGCACUCCAGCCAGUGUGACAGAGCCAGACUCUGUCUCAAAAAUAAAUAAAUAAACUUGGGACAUUUCACAUAAAACCCUACUGUAGCUGACUGCUCUGGAAAAGUGGGGAAGUCUGACGACAGUGGGCCAGCUUUCCCCCAUGGCAGCACUUGUUCAGAGCUUGGGAGAGACCGUCCCCUUUUGUGAAGCAUGUGCUUCCCUUGUGUGUGGAGAGUUAAAAGAAUAGAAAACGCUGGGAACACUGGCAUUUCAAGAUCAAAGGGUCAAGAA